GGGUUGUGAGGUUAAGCGACUAAGCGUACACGGUGGAUGCCCUGGCAGUCAGAGGCGAUGAAGGACGUGCUAAUCUGCGAUAAGCGUCGGUAAGGUGAUAUGAACCGUUAUAACCGGCGAUUUCCGAAUGGGGAAACCCAGUGUGUUUCGACACACUAUCAUUAACUGAAUCCAUAGGUUAAUGAGGCGAACCGGGGGAACUGAAACAUCUAAGUACCCCGAGGAAAAGAAAUCAACCGAGAUUCCCCCAGUAGCGGCGAGCGAACGGGGAGCAGCCCAGAGCCUGAAUCAGUGUGUGUGUUAGUGGAAGCGUCUGGAAAGGCGCGCGAUACAGGGUGACAGCCCCGUACACAAAAAUGCACAUGCUGUGAGCUCGAUGAGUAGGGCGGGACACGUGGUAUCCUGUCUGAAUAUGGGGGGACCAUCCUCCAAGGCUAAAUACUCCUGACUGACCGAUAGUGAACCAGUACCGUGAGGGAAAGGCGAAAAGAACCCCGGCGAGGGGAGUGAAAAAGAACCUGAAACCGUGUACGUACAAGCAGUGGGAGCACGCUUCGGCGUGUGACUGCGUACCUUUUGUAUAAUGGGUCAGCGACUUAUAUUCUGUAGCAAGGUUAACCGAAUAGGGGAGCCGAAGGGAAACCGAGUCUUAACUGGGCGUUAAGUUGCAGGGUAUAGACCCGAAACCCGGUGAUCUAGCCAUGGGCAGGUUGAAGGUUGGGUAACACUAACUGGAGGACCGAACCGACUAAUGUUGAAAAAUUAGCGGAUGACUUGUGGCUGGGGGUGAAAGGCCAAUCAAACCGGGAGAUAGCUGGUUCUCCCCGAAAGCUAUUUAGGUAGCGCCUCGUGAAUUCAUCUCCGGGGGUAGAGCACUGUUUCGGCAAGGGGGUCAUCCCGACUUACCAACCCGAUGCAAACUGCGAAUACCGGAGAAUGUUAUCACGGGAGACACACGGCGGGUGCUAACGUCCGUCGUGAAGAGGGAAACAACCCAGACCGCCAGCUAAGGUCCCAAAGUCAUGGUUAAGUGGGAAACGAUGUGGGAAGGCCCAGACAGCCAGGAUGUUGGCUUAGAAGCAGCCAUCAUUUAAAGAAAGCGUAAUAGCUCACUGGUCGAGUCGGCCUGCGCGGAAGAUGUAACGGGGCUAAACCAUGCACCGAAGCUGCGGCAGCGACGCUGAUGCGUUGUUGGGUAGGGGAGCGUUCUGUAAGCCUGCGAAGGUGUGCUGUGAGGCAUGCUGGAGGUAUCAGAAGUGCGAAUGCUGACAUAAGUAACGAUAAAGCGGGUGAAAAGCCCGCUCGCCGGAAGACCAAGGGUUCCUGUCCAACGUUAAUCGGGGCAGGGUGAGUCGACCCCUAAGGCGAGGCCGAAAGGCGUAGUCGAUGGGAAACAGGUUAAUAUUCCUGUACUUGGUGUUACUGCGAAGGGGGGACGGAGAAGGCUAUGUUGGCCGGGCGACGGUUGUCCCGGUUUAAGCGUGUAGGCUGGUUUUCCAGGCAAAUCCGGAAAAUCAAGGCUGAGGCGUGAUGACGAGGCACUACGGUGCUGAAGCAACAAAUGCCCUGCUUCCAGGAAAAGCCUCUAAGCAUCAGGUAACAUCAAAUCGUACCCCAAACCGACACAGGUGGUCAGGUAGAGAAUACCAAGGCGCUUGAGAGAACUCGGGUGAAGGAACUAGGCAAAAUGGUGCCGUAACUUCGGGAGAAGGCACGCUGAUAUGUAGGUGAGGUCCCUCGCGGAUGGAGCUGAAAUCAGUCGAAGAUACCAGCUGGCUGCAACUGUUUAUUAAAAACACAGCACUGUGCAAACACGAAAGUGGACGUAUACGGUGUGACGCCUGCCCGGUGCCGGAAGGUUAAUUGAUGGGGUCAGCGCAAGCGAAGCUCUUGAUCGAAGCCCCGGUAAACGGCGGCCGUAACUAUAACGGUCCUAAGGUAGCGAAAUUCCUUGUCGGGUAAGUUCCGACCUGCACGAAUGGCGUAAUGAUGGCCAGGCUGUCUCCACCCGAGACUCAGUGAAAUUGAACUCGCUGUGAAGAUGCAGUGUACCCGCGGCAAGACGGAAAGACCCCGUGAACCUUUACUAUAGCUUGACACUGAACAUUGAGCCUUGAUGUGUAGGAUAGGUGGGAGGCUUGGAAGUGUGGACGCCAGUCUGCAUGGAGCCGACCUUGAAAUACCACCCUUUAAUGUUUGAUGUUCUAACGUUGACCCGUAAUCCGGGUUGCGGACAGUGUCUGGUGGGUAGUUUGACUGGGGCGGUCUCCUCCUAAAGAGUAACGGAGGAGCACGAAGGUUGGCUAAUCCUGGUCGGACAUCAGGAGGUUAGUGCAAUGGCAUAAGCCAGCUUGACUGCGAGCGUGACGGCGCGAGCAGGUGCGAAAGCAGGUCAUAGUGAUCCGGUGGUUCUGAAUGGAAGGGCCAUCGCUCAACGGAUAAAAGGUACUCCGGGGAUAACAGGCUGAUACCGCCCAAGAGUUCAUAUCGACGGCGGUGUUUGGCACCUCGAUGUCGGCUCAUCACAUCCUGGGGCUGAAGUAGGUCCCAAGGGUAUGGCUGUUCGCCAUUUAAAGUGGUACGCGAGCUGGGUUUAGAACGUCGUGAGACAGUUCGGUCCCUAUCUGCCGUGGGCGCUGGAGAACUGAGGGGGGCUGCUCCUAGUACGAGAGGACCGGAGUGGACGCAUCACUGGUGUUCGGGUUGUCAUGCCAAUGGCACUGCCCGGUAGCUAAAUGCGGAAGAGAUAAGUGCUGAAAGCAUCUAAGCACGAAACUUGCCCCGAGAUGAGUUCUCCCUGACCCUUUAAGGGUCCUGAAGGAACGUUGAAGACGACGACGUUGAUAGGCCGGGUGUGUAAGCGCAGCGAUGCGUUGAGCUAACCGGUACUAAUGAACCGUGAGGCUUAACCUUACAACGCCGAAGCUGUU
rnacentral:rRNA from 1 species